rnacentral:rRNA from 1 species
GACGAACGCUGGCGGCGUGCUUAACACAUGCAAGUCGAACGGAAAGGCCCUGCUUUUGUGGGGUGCUCGAGUGGCGAACGGUUGAGUAACACUUUAGUAACCUGCCCUUGACUUUUGUAUAACUUCAUGAAACUGGUUCUAAUACCGGAUAUGAUCUCCUGCUGCAUUGUGUGGUUUGGAAAGUUUCGGCGGUUGGGGAUUGACUCGCGGCUUAUCAGCUUUUUGGUGGUGUAGUGGCUUACCAAGGCUUUGACGGGUAGCCGGCCUGAGAGGGUGAACGGAGAAAUGGGGAAUGAGAUAAGGACCAGAGUACAACGGGAGGCAGGAGUGGGGAAGAUUGCAAAAUGGGCGGAAGGAUGAUGAAGCAACGCAGCGUGCGGGAUGAAGGCCUUAGGGUUGUAAAAAGAUUUAGCAUGUGAAGAAGAGUGAGUGACGGUAAUGGGUAAAGAAGCACCGGCUAACUACGUG